CCUACGGGAGGCAGCAGUGGGGAAUUUUGGACAAUGGGCGCAAGCCUGAUCCAGCAAUGCCGCGUGAGUGAAGAAGGCCUUCGGGUUGUAAAGCUCUUUUGUCAGGGAAGAAACGGUGAGCUCUAAUACAGUUUGCUAAUGACGGUACCUGAAGAAUAAGCACCGGCUAACUACGUGCCAGCAGCCGCGGUAAUACGUAGGGUGCAAGCGUUAAUCGGAAUUACUGGGCGUAAAGCGUGCGCAGGCGGUUUUGUAAGUCUGUCGUGAAAUCCCCGGGCUCAACCUGGGAAUGGCGAUGGAGACUGCAAGGCUAGAGUUUGGCAGAGGGGGGUAGAAUUCCACGUGUAGCAGUGAAAUGCGUAGAUAUGUGGAGGAACACCGAUGGCGAAGGCAGCCCCCUGGGUCAAAACUGACGCUCAUGCACGAAAGCGUGGGGAGCAAACAGGAUUAGAUACCCUGGUAGUCCACGCCCUAAACGAUGUCUACUAGUUGUCGGGUCUUAAUUGACUUGGUAACGCAGCUAACGCGUGAAGUAGACCGCCUGGGGAUACGGUCGCAAGAUUAAAACUCAAAGUGAAUUGACG
rnacentral:rRNA from 1 species